ensembl:rRNA 5S_rRNA 5S ribosomal RNA
GUCUAUGGCCAUGCUACCCUGAAUGUGCCCAUCUCGUCUGAUCUCGAAAGCUAAGCAAGGUCCCGCCUGGUUAGUACUCGGAUGGGAGACCACCUUGGAACACCAAGCACUGUACGCG